rnacentral:tRNA from 2 species
GACCUCGUAGUUCAAUCGGAUAGAACGUCAGAUUGCGGAUCUGAAGAUUGCGCGUUCGAGUCGCGCCGAGGUCA